rnacentral:rRNA from 1 species
GACGAACGCUGGCGGCGUGCUUAACGCAUGCAAGUCGAACGGAAAGGCCCUGCUUUUGUGGGGUGCUCGAGUGGCGAACGGGUGAGUAACACGUGAGUAACCUGCCCUUGACUUUGGGAUAACUUCAGGAAACUGGGGCUAAUACCGGAUAGGAGCUCCUGCUGCAUGGUGGGGGUUGGAAAGUUUCGGCGGUUGGGGAUGGACUCGCGGCUUAUCAGCUUGUUGGUGGGGUAGUGGCUUACCAAGGCUUUGACGGGUAGCCGGCCUGAGAGGGUGACCGGCCACAUUGGGACUGAGAUACGGCCCAGACUCCUACGGGAGGCAGCAGUGGGGAAUAUUGCACAAUGGGCGGAAGCCUGAUGCAGCAACGCCGCGUGCGGGAUGACGGCCUUCGGGUUGUAAACCGCUUUCGCCUGUGACGAAGCGGGAGUGACGGUAAUGGGUAAAGAAGCACCGGCUAACUACGUG